rnacentral:rRNA from 1 species
AAAGAAACUAACAAGGAUUCCCGUAGUAACUGCGAGUGAAGUGGGAAGAGCUCAAAUUUGAAAUCUGGCAGUCUCUGGCUGUCUGAGUUGUAAUCUAGAGAAGUGUUACCUGCGCUGGACCGUGUACAAGUCUCCUGGAACGGAGCGUCAUAGAGGGUGAGAAUCCCGUCUCUGACAUGGACUACCAGGGCUUUGUGGUAUGCUCUCGAAGAGUCGAGUUGUUUGGGAAUGCAGCUCAAAAAGGGUGGUAAACUCCAUCUAAAGCUAAAUACUGGCGAGAGACCGAUAGUGAACAAGUACCGUGAGGGAAAGAUGAAAAGAACUUUGGAAAGAGAGUUAAACAGUACGUGAAAUUGCUGAAAGGGAAACGCUUGAAGUCAGUCGCGUUGGCUGGGGAUCAGCCUCACUCAUUUGUGUGGUGUACUUCCCAGUUGACGGGUCAGCAUCAAUUUUGACCACUGGAGAAAGGCUUGAGGAAUGUGGCAGCCCUGGCUGUGUUAUAGCUUCUUGUCAGAUACGGUGGUUGGGAUUGAGGUGUGCAGCACGCCGCAAGGCCGGGGCUUUUAAACCCACGUCCGUGCUUAGGAUGUUGACAUA